rnacentral:tRNA from 1 species
GUCCCCAUCGUCUAGCUCGGCCCAGGACUCCCGGCCCUUUCAAGGCCGCCGCGCGGGUUCGAAUCCCGCUGGGGACGCCA